UACGUAGGGGGCAAGCGUUGUCCGGAUUCAUUGGGCGUAAAGAGCGUGUAGGCGGCCAGGUAGGUCGGUUGUGAAAACUGGAGGCUCAACCUUCAGAGGUCGACCGAAACCAUCUGGCUAGAGUCCGGGAGAGGAGAGUGGAAUUCCUGGUGUAGCGGUGAAAUGCGCAGAUAUCAGGAAGAACACCCGUGGCGAAAGCGGCUCUCUGGAACGGUACUGACGCUGAGACGCGAAAGCCGUGGGGGAGCGAACAGG
rnacentral:rRNA from 1 species